rnacentral:antisense_RNA from 1 species
AAUAGACAUCAGCGAUUCAUUUUGUGAACCAUGACCAACUGCGAGAUAAGCAUUCAUGCCUAACUCUUUCAUUUGUUCUUCACCAAUGACGCGAGUUGUCAGUCUAUUGUCAGGAAUAUCGGCUAAUUGACGCGCUUGAGAAGCCAAAUAACCUGCAUUACAGAUAUUUGGUGGCAUAUUUCCAAGAUCUUUUGC